GAGUGAUCACUCUUUCAAGGCCAAUAAUCGAAAAGUGUAAUUCCCUUAUGGCAGAAGACAGAAGGUUCUAAAAAAGACUGAUUCUUUGUUGUGUUUGAUUACUUAAAAAAGUUGUGUAUGACUAAAGCUGAAGUGGUUUGAGAGCAGAAUUUGAAUUGCUGCUGCUUUAUUACUAUUACUUAUUGCAAACACAAGAACGGGCACGAUACAAAAAUUCCACGAUAAAUAGAAAAGCAAUCAUACACGGCCAUAUUAAUCUAUGAACAAAUAAAUUAAAGAGAUGACUAAGAGUGGACUGUACUUUUAACUUGGCAUUUACACUUUAAAUCUCUCUUCCUUGUUUUGAUUUGUCCGUCACUUGAACACAAUAAGAUCAGGACGUGCAAGAUGGCCAUCAAACAAAUAGAAUCAAGCGGGUCUGAAUCACAGAUAUUGUAGCUCGGAGAUGACACCUUCAGACUUUUAUUCAAAGAACUUGGAUAGGAAGAUAGAUAUUUCACUUCACUCCAAAUGGAGCUUGCAUUUAUUCCUCGAAGAAAACUACAACCUGAAAAUGAAUUCCAUAGAAAUUUCCAUUACUAAAGUUCAUUCAUGUAUAUAUAAUUCUGAUUUUACUUUUGAAAAUGUAUAAGGUUGGUUAACUUACAUGAUUUAUCGUGAAUGGUGCUUCCGCAGUCUGAGCUUACUUGUAGAUAGGUGGAGGUGGGGAAGCAUAGACGUAAGCUGGAGGCGGAGGUGAUUUGUAAAUGUACUUUGGAGCGGGAGCUGGGGAGGGAGGAGGUGGUGAUUUGUAAUGGUAUGGUGGAGGUGGAGAUGGAGAAGGUGGUGGAGGGCUCACGUAGUGGUAAGGAGGUGAAGGAUACGACGUUGGUGGUGGAGGGGAUUUGUAGUAGUAGGGAUGAUGAGGAGUGGGAGAUGGUGGAGGAGGACUUUUAUAGUAAUAAGGAGGUGGUGGAGAUGGGGACGGGGGUGGAGGGGAUUUGUAGUAAUAUGGAGGUGGUGGUGAUGGGGAUGGUGGUGGUGGUGAGUGGUAGUAGUAGGGAGGGUGUGUGCUCUCUUUAGGUGGAGGUGGGGAGUGAUAGUAGUAAGGUGGUGGAGGGGAUGGUGAAGGUGGUGGGGGAGAUUUAUAGUAGUAUGGAGGAGGAGGGGAUGGUGAAGGUGGGGGUGGAGAUUUAUAGUAGUACGGAGGGGGAGGAGAGGGUGAUGGUGGAGGUGGAGAUUUAUAGUAGUACGGAGGGGGAGGAGAGGGUGAUGGUGGAGGUGGAGAUUUAUAGUAGUAUGGAGGCUUAUAAACCGGUGAGGGUGGAGGUGGGGAGUGGUAGUAGUAUGGAGGGGGAGGUGAGGGGGAUGGUGGAGGGGGAGAGUGGUAGUAGUAUGGAGGGGGAGGUGAAGGGGAUGGUGGAGGUGGAGAGUGGUAGUAGUAUGGAGGUUUAGGCUUUGGUGAUGGUGGGGGUGGAGAUUGGUAGUAGUAUGGAGGCUUUGGCACCGGUGAUGGUGGAGGUGGAGAGUGGUAGUAGUAUGGAGGUGGAGGAGAGGGAGAUGGAGGAGGUGGAGAGUGGUAGUAGUAUGGAGGCUUAGGUUUUGGUGAUGGAGGGGGUGGUGAUUGGUAGUAGUAAGGAGGCUUUGGCACCGGUGAUGGUGGAGGUGGAGAGUGGUAGUAGUACGGAGGCUUAGGUUUUGGUGAUGGGGGAGGUGGAGAUUGGUAGUAGUAUGGAGGCUUUGGUACUGGUGAUGGAGGAGGUGGAGAGUGGUAGUAGUAUGGAGGUUGAGGUUUUGGUGAUGGUGGAGGUGGAGACUUAUAAUAAUAGGGAGGUGACUUGACGGGUGGUGGUGGUGACUUGUAAACAUAAGUUGGUGAUGGUGGUGGUGGUGAUUUGUAUACGUAAACUGGAGAGGGAGGAGGAGGUGAGUUGUAAUAGUAUGGUGUUGGUGAAGGCUUAUAAGGCUUCUUGUCACAGUCCUUGAAGUGCUUCUUUGAAGCAUAAGCAAAUGGCUUAGCCUUGAGCACAACUUCAUAUUUAUCUUUUGAUUUCACCUUCAAUGGAGUUCCCUCGUUCAGCUUGGUAGGUAUGUUGAAGGGAGAGUCCUUAGGUGGAGCAUGAAGGUGGGCCUUGCAGACUACUGAUCCAUAUUUCACAUAGUCAAAGUCCUUAACUGUGAUACUGUAUUUUCCAUUGCUCUUAGUUUCACCAUAAGCCUUUAUGAUGUUUCUUCCUGCUUUGCAUUUAACCUCCACAAUAGCACCUACAUUUACCCAAAAUGCUUCAUUACACUUCAUAAAUUCUAACAUGCAGGGAGUUAUAAUUAUACUGAAAGCAACACAUUACUAUAUAUAUUGGUCUGUUACUAAAGUUAUACUAUAUAUUCUUUGUCAGAUAGCAUAUUAUAUCAGUAAGAAUCAUUUAAAGAUUGAUAUCAUGUUAAAUUAUCUCUUUCUAGUUGAUUAUUUCUUAAUCUAUGAUGUAGCCGAUUCUAAUAAAUCAUAUUCUUGUUUUUCUUUUAAUUUUUAUGAAUCUCCUUUUUUGAGAUAAUAAAAAAUAAUUUAAGAAUUUUAUUUGAUAACUUUGUUUUAUUUUCAAUUUAAAAUAUUUAAUAUUUUAAUUGAGAUAAAGAUAUUUGUACAAAUCAAUUUAUAAAAUAUUUGAGGAUUUAAUUUAGAUAAAUAUAUUAUUAAAAUUAUAAUAAUCAAUAUUCUAUUCAACUUUUUAAAAGGACAAAUCAGAAGGAAAAAUAAUCUUCCUACGUAUAAAAAGGGUUGAAAAUAUAUAAGUUGGUUUCUAGCAAAAACUUAACGCGGUAGACCUUAUAAUUUGAAAUGCCUACUAACUACAUUAUAAAACGAUCACUUUUGUUGAAUCUGUUGAACUUUUUUUUUCUCAGACCUCAUAAAUAUAUAUCUACUAUGAUUAACGUUAUUUAACAUAAAGGGUUAACUAUAAAAAAGAAACGAGACAACUAAGAAAAGAUGGUAGUGAAGGUGAGUAAAUUCUAAAAAACAAAGAGAUGUAUGGAAACAUACGAAAAGAGAAGCAGGAAGUGUAAUGGUAAAACACAGUUGAAGGCAUUGUAAAUGUGGAAAAGAAUAACAUGAAUGUGGUGUGUGUACCUUUGAGGUGUUUCUUGUUGUGAGACUUUUCGGGAUACUCCCAGUCGUAGCACUUGAAGCUGUAGACUUUACCCACUACCUUGACGAUCAAAGGGUGGUGGUGGGGAUGGUAGGGGUGUGGGGGAUAAACAACCGGUGGAGGAGGGGAGUUAUAGUAGUAGGGAGGUGGAUAUUUGGGUGGUGGUGGAGACUUGUAGUAAUAAGGAGUUGGGGAUGGAUAGUAAGGAGUUGGUGAUGGUGGUGGUGGAGAUUUGUAGUAGUAGGGAGUUGGGGAUGGUGGUGGUGGAGACUUAUAGUAGUAGGGAGUUGGGGAAGGAUAGUAAGGAGUUGGAGAUGGUGGUGGUGGAGACUUAUAGUAGUAAGGUUUUGGGGAUGGUGGUGGUGGAGACUUGUAGUAGUAAGGAGUGGGGGAUGGAUAGUAAGGAGUUGGAGACGGUGGUGGUGGAGACUUGUAAUAGUAGGGAGUUGGAGAUGGUGGUGGAGGAGACUUGUAGUAGUAGGGAGUUGGAGAUGGUGGUGGUGGAGACUUGUAGUAGUAAGGAGUGGGGGANNNNNNNNNNNNNNNNNNNNNNNNNNNNNNNNNNNNNNNNNNNNNNNNNNNNNNNNNNNNNNNNNNNNNNNNNNNNNNNNNNNNNNNNNNNNNNNNNNNNNNNNNNNNNNNNNNNNNNNNNNNNNNNNNNNNNNNNNNNNNNNNNNNNNNNNNNNNNNNNNNNNNNNNNNNNNNNNNNNNNNNNNNNNNNNNNNNNNNNNNNNNNNNNNNNNNNNNNNNNNNNNNNNNNNNNNNNNNNNNNNNNNNNNNNNNNNNNNNNNNNNNNNNNNNNNNNNNNNNNNNNNNNNNNNNNNNNNNNNNNNNNNNNNNNGGAGGUGGCGGAGACUUGUAAUAGUAGGGAGUGGGAGAUGGUGGUGGUGGAGACUUGUAGUAGUAGGGAGUUGGAGAUGGUGGUGGUGGAGACUUAUAGUAGUAAGGUUUUGGGGAUGGAUAGUAAGGAGUUGGGGAAGGUGGUGGUGGAGACUUGUAGUAAUAGGGAGUUGGGGAUGGUGGUGGUGGAGACUUAUAGUAAUAGGGAGUUGGAGAAGGUGGUGGUGGAGACUUGUAGUAGUAUGGAGUGGGAGAUGGAUAGUAAGGAGUUGGGGAUGGUGGUGGUGGUGGAGACUUGUAGUAGUAAGGAGUUGGAGAUGGAGGAGGAGGAGAUUUGUAGUAGUAAGGUGGUGGUGGUGGGGGAGACUUGUAGUAGUAUGGAGUUGGAGAAGGUGGUGGUGGAGACUUAUAGUAGUAUGGUUUUGGUGAGGGAGGAGGGGGAGAUUUAUAAUAAUAAGGAGUUGGAGCCGGAGACUUUACAGGUGGAGGUGGAGACUUGUAAUAAUAGGGUGGUGGAGGAGAUGGUGAAGGAGGUGGUGGAGACUUGUAAUAGUAGGGUGGUGGAGGAGAUGGUGAAGGAGGUGGUGGAGACUUGUAGUAGUACGGGGGAGGAGGUGAGGGUGAUGGGGGUGGUGGAGACUUGUAGUAGUAUGGUUUUGGUGAUGGAGGAGGGGGAGAUUUAUAAUAAUAAGGAGUCGGAGCCGGAGACUUUACAGGAGGAGGUGGAGACUUGUAAUAGUAGGGUGGUGGAGGGGAUGGUGAAGGAGGUGGUGGUGACUUGUAGUAGUAGGGAGGAGGAGGUGAUGGAGAAGGUGGUGGAGGAGACUUGUAGUAGUAAGGGGGAGGAGGUGAUGGUGAUGGGGGUGGUGGAGACUUGUAGUAGUAUGGGGGAGGAGGUGAGGGUGACGGGGGUGGAGGAGACUUGUAGUAGUAAGGAGGAGGAGGAGACGGGGAAGGAGGUGGUGGUGACUUGUAGUAGUAGGGAGGAGGAGGUGAGGGAGAGGGUGGUGGAGGAGACCUGUAGUAGUAAGGAGGAGGAGGAGAUGGGGAAGGAGGUGGUGGGGACUUAUAGUAAUAAGGAGGAGGAGGUGAGGGAGAAGGUGGUGGAGGAGACUUGUAGUAGUAAGGAGGUGGAGGAGAGGGGGAAGGAGGUGGUGGUGAUUUAUAAUAAUACGGUGGAGCUUUGUGCUCAUAGGUUGGUGGAGGGGGGGACUUGUAGACGUAAGGAGGUGGUGGUGAAGGAGAAGGUGGUGGAGGAGAAUAGUAAGGGUAACCAUCAGCAUUGACGGAAACGAGAGUGAUAGAAAGGAGAGCAAUGGCAAAUGGGAGGGCCAUUUGUGGCGAGAGAAGACCCCUUAUGGGGUCUCUGCCCCUUGCAGUCAUGCGUAGAAGGAAAAAGCUGAGUUCCUCUGGCCAAUGCUUCUUCUCAGAUCCUCUCACUGAAUUUGGUGGAGGAAGUGGGAAGAAUAGAAGGUGUUUUUUGAUGUUAUAGUGAUGACUGACAAAAGCUGCAUCAAAUACUUAGUACUUAUAGUGAAAGUGAGUCGUUAAAGGGGAGCUGUCAUGAGGGACCAAUUCAAACUAUUAAAUGCCUUUCAUUUUGAUUUAAAUGCUUUAAAUUAGGCUUCCCCAGCUGGCCUUGUGACUUUCUUUAAGCACAGUUUCUCGUAAACUCUUGCUUAUUUUGUUUUCCUCCAAAUGACCAUAACCUUAUAAUCCUCUAUUCCAUUCUCCAACUACCGAUUAAAAUAUACAUCACAAUCUUGUACGUUCCACAAUAGUAUCUAACACUUGUUACCCCAAAUAAUGUCCUAUUCUUUUACAUUUUCCUCCCUCCCCAGUUGCCUAUCUUGACGAAAAAGUAACUCCAAAAUGCUUUAUUCAUUUUAUCUCUUUCUCUUUACUCAUUUUUCUUCCUAUACUGUUUUCCAUGGAAGGGAUCCAUAAGUGCCCAUCAUUGCAACAUUUGCAUCCAAGGGUCAAGAUAUUUUGACUUUUCAAUACUAUUUUUUUUCUGUACAUUUCUAACUCCAGCUUUUGGCAGUUUCUGCUCAAGAAUAAUCCAAAUUUGGCUUAAUUUGUCACACCUCCACGUGUUCGUGGGGGCUCCUAUACAAAUCAAAUUAACUCCAUUACAUUACAACACAAAUUAUCAUCCAUUUCUUUAAUUUCUCAUAUACCGUAUAUCCGCAAUUAUACAAUUACAGAAAUCAAUCUGUCUGAAUAAGUUGAUUCCAGAGGGGUGGACAGUAAGUGGGAAGAAGGAGACAGAAUGAGAAGUUGCAAUGAGAAGAGUACAACUUCAUCACCACUUGCUUCACUUCACCUCUUAAUGCUUUUUUUCUUUUUCUUUUCUUUCUCUUUCCUUAAGAAUUUCCUCAGCCAUGUGAUUUCUCAAUGAUGAGAUUAACAUGUGAUGUUGUCAACACCAGCAUGAAGUGCACGUUGUUGCUUUUGCAGCUAAUUCGUGGUACCAAAACUCCCCCGUUAAUUUCUUUUCGUGUAUUCUACAUUCAACUUUAGCUACCUUGCUUUACAUCUCUAGAAAACGACAGUUUUGAAGAAACUCAUAGGAGCGUCCAGUCUUUCUAGAUGCUUCUGUUUGAUUUAUAAAUCCUUUUGAAGCGUUUCUAACAUAAAUGUUCCUCGGGUGAAUUUGAGAGAGGAGUUCAAAGAUAAAUCUUUGCCAGAUGCAUUGGGUUUGGCAAUUGACCGAUGUCAUUUAACAAAAUUUAUGACAUGAAUAAUCAAUAAUAACUGUAACAUGAAUGAAUGAAACGUGCACACUAAACGUGCACACUAUUGUUCCCUCAUUUGGCCCUGUUGGGAUAAUAUAAUAUACUUGAACAACUAAGCAUUUGCUAAUUAAAAAUUUCCCUACUGUCCAAAAGUAGUAGGAGAAAUGAUGUACGUUACCCUAUGAUGCUCCGGACAUAUCUAGUUUUGUAUGGUUUGAAGAGUCAAGAUUCCUUGGUAAUCUUUUUUUUCUCUGCAAAUUCAAAUUAACAAGUGAUUUUUACAGAAGCGUAGUUCUUGAGUUUUGAAGUGAAAUGUGGUAACUUUUCUGAUCUUGGCAUUGUAAUAAUAUGCCCGAUUGGUCAAGAUUAAAACAUGGUGUGUGCAUUAACUCUGUCCCCAUGUGAAGCUACUUGAACCAAUUUUUCUAAUUUGUAAUAGCCAUCCAUCUCAUCUCUCUCUUAUUGUUUAUGAUAGUCAAUGCCGUGUACUAUAACGUCUCUGAAUUGGGGUGUAAACAGACGUAAAAUUCGUGAAGAGUUGUUGAGUUUAAGGGAAAUUAAAAAGGGAGAUGGAGAUUGGAUGCAUGCAUGAUGAGAUGGAGGUGUGGUAGUGAUAGUGGGGUGGAAAAGUUGUAAUGCACAGAUAGCAGGAUUUGACAGUGGCGGACAGUUUGAAAGGAAAUUAUAAGAUAGAGGAAACGUGAGUCCCUUUCGAUGCUUAUAAUGUAGGAAUGAUAGAAGUAAAUCACAGUGAAAAAAGAAAUCUAACAAAGACUUUUCUUUUAAGAGCAUAUCAUGAUUAUUAUAUUGAACAUGUUCGGAGGACCACACCAUCACCCACUUUUGGUCCUCAAAUUCUCUUGUUUAGGUGUGGUGCAGGUUGUUGCAAUAUGCAGAAUCAAGUUAUCUCCAUCCAGCCGUUAAUCUCACCAUCUCAUCUGCCUCUCUUUGCAAGUUUUUCCCUUUUUCUUUUGUGUUUCUUCUGAGAAUGAGAUCAGUUAUGUAAUUCUCUUGUUAAAAAUUCAGACACCAGAACUGUUUAUGCAAUAACAGAUUCAUUUAUACAACAAAUGCUUUGAUUUUGAGUAGUCUUUACUCUUUUUUUGUGAAUUCUGUAAACAUAUCUGUUACUGUUAUUGUGAUGACUUAAAGGUAAAAUUGAAAGGUUGCUAAAAAGACAUUGACUUAAUCACCUCCUAAUAAUGCAUAAGCAUUAAAACAGCAAAACCAAAUAUAUAUAAAAGAAAGACUUCAGGAACAGGAUAAACAUAAUGAUUGAUUCUGCUUGGUCUUUCAAUAACGCGAAGAGGGAAAAAUAUAGGUAUAUAACCAAACUUAAGGGCUAUUACCAUUAGCUAUAGCAUACUAUGAUAAUUGAAUUGUAACUGGUCCAAACAGAAAACAACACCCUUUGAAGUUAAGAUGACAACAAAGGACAUAAUACAUUACGAAGAACAUGUUGACAAUGACAGGUGCAUGGUUAUCACAAUUAGUUGUUGACCAAACUGUGUUAAAGCUAAAAUCUGAAAAAAAGAAAAGGAAAAAUCCAUGGUGGGUAAGCAAAACUUCAAAAAAAAAUUGUUCCUUUUGGUUUAUUUCUGAUGCUGAAGACUGAAAGGACAGUAUGGGAUAGCAUAGCAGUAAAUUUGUGUUCUUUGAAAGAUGAAGCCAAAAUUUGACUGCAAUUAAAAAUGCCAAAAUAAUUUUCUUGAUUUUUGCACGUGGUGAUGGCUGAUGGCUGAUGGCUGCUGGUUGCUGACUGCUACCUACGUUCUGAGAUGACAAUUAUGUAUGUAUGAAUGGUGAUUCUUUUUCAUAAAAGUAUGAGUAUCAGUAUCCGAUUCUUGUUCUUUUAUUAUUUAUAUUCAUUCCUCUUUAAAGUUUCUUGAUCCACACUCUCACAUGAUUCAGCCAUAAAAGAAUGAGAUGAUUCUCUUAUUUCGUCUGACAUGAUUUGCUUUUUGAUAAAUUCACAAGAAAAAUAACCAAGAUUCGUCUUUUUUCUGUUACCAAAUGUUAAUAAUAGUUCCUUAAUGCAGUAACAUAACACUACCAAUUUGACAUUUAAAUUCAUUCUUUUCUCAGUUGAUGACUUCAACCUGCACUAAAUUUUGGCCUUAAAAAACUGAAAUUUGCAGAAAUUAAGUUUUAAGAAAUGCAUGUAGUUGUAUUUGUUUGGGCAUUAGCAAAAGUUAAUAUAAAGAAAUAAAAACCAGAAACAAGAAGUGCGACAGACCAAUACGUACAUGUUCGGCAAGUUUCAAGGAAAAAACUAGUAUACAAGAGCAGGUUUGUCUUUGAAUAAUGCAAAAUGUGUUUUUUCAAUUAUAGUUGGAUUUAAAAUAUGAAAUCGGAAUUAAGAAUAGUUAUAUACAUUGUCUUAUAUGAUAUCUUUUCUUUUAACUCUUAACGAAAAGGUAAUUAUAUUUUGACAAUUUUUUUUAUAACGGAAUAUGUGUCAUUAGUUUAUUGAUUUAUUUAAAUUUAUAUUUAUAAAAUAUUUGAAAGAGAUCAAUCACAAAUUGAUACAAAUAUGUUAUCAAAAAAUUAUUAAAAAAUGUGUGGGUGAAAGAAGUGUUUCUUUAAUUGAAAAUAUACGUUUUAAUUUAUGUUAUAUUCAGUGGAUAUGUAUUAUUAAACGUAUUAUUGUUGACCCGCACAUACUUUUGAACUUUACAAGACAUUUUUUUAUAUUUCAUUUGAAUAUAUGUUCAAGGUUUGGGAUUUCGUUUGAAUAUGUUUUUAACCAAAAAGAAAAAAGAAAAAAAAAAAACCGACUGAACACUCUACCAUUGUUUAUAUGCAAAGUUGGUAAAGAAAUCCAAAAUUAAAAUAAAAUUAAUAUAUUUAUGUCAUAAGAUAGACAGGAUAUGCAAUGUGAGGACUUCUUUUUGUAUUUUUAUUAUUGAACAAUUUUAUCUUUUAAUAAACGAAAAAUAAUUUAUUUAUUUAAUAAAAUAAGUGAUUGAAUAAAUUUCUUUAUUUUUAAAUAGUUAAAUAACUUCUCUUUUUAAAAUAAUUACUAUAUAAUUUUAGAUACUUUGAUCAUAUACAUAUAUUAUUUUUAUAUAUUUAAAUUACUUACUCAUUUAUAUCAUUAUAUAAAAGAAUUUUUCUUUUAAUUUUAUAACCAUUUUUAAAAUUAAAACAUAUCUUAUCAAAUUAUUUUUAAGUGAUAUUUUUAAAAUUUAGUUAUUUUUUAUUUGAUUAUUUUUAGAAAAUAAUUAUUUUUUAAAGCUAAAACAGUUAUUUACAACAAAAAAUUAUCUACAAAUUAAUAUAUAUUUUUAAAAUUAUUUUAUUUUAAUAUAAUGAAAAAUGUGAAUACUACAAAUGUACGUUUUUUCGAUAAUAUUUAUAUAAAGUAAAUUAAAAGUUAUAAAAAAAAUUGAUAACGAAAUAAUGAAAUGAACCAAAACAAAAACAAAAAGGUUAAUAUUUAGAGAUUUAAAAAAAUAUAUAUAAAAACAUGAAAAUAUAUUUGCCUAUAUAUGUUUUUUCAACCACGAUGAUAAAUACAGUUGCCUGAUAUUCAACUUGUCAACUAUAUUCGUAAAAUAAUUAUGCAGUGAAUAUUAUAGAGAUUUAAAAAUAUAUUUAUAAAAUGACUUUAGGUUCUAUUUUUCAGAAUUUUAAAGCCGUUGUUUACGUAGUUAGUAAAGAAAAAAUAUUAAAAUUACAAUGAAGUUGUAUUAAAAAACAUACUUAGAGUGUGUUGAUAAAAUUGUAUUAAAUAAUGUCCUGGAAACACAGUUGUCAACAUUUUUAAUUUAGCAUUCUUAAAAUAUUGACUAAUAAAAUAAAAAUAUAUGUUUUUUUAUUCAUAAAAUCAAAUGCCAAUAUACAGAAGUUAACCUAACCCUAACGGUUUGAUAAAAGAAACAUAUUUACGUCUUUUUAAAAUUAUGAAAAUCGUUUGAUACUUAUUAUUGUUAAACUAAUUAAUUAAAAAUACUGGAUGUUCUCUCCUGUAACAAGUAUAAGAAGAGAAACAAAACUCAAUUAACUUACUUAAUCAAAGUAUAUAUUGAAAUAUAUUUAUUUAUUUAACUAGAGUUUUAUUUUCCAUUACUCUCUUUUAUUUAUUUUUAUUAAGUUCCUAUAAAUUCUUUUAUUGAAAUGAAAUCAAUAGAAUUAAAUAUUACUUAAUAAUUUUUUAAUUAAUGUAAACUAUUUUUUCUGUUGUAUAUGAGAUUUGAGGAAACAUUAAUUAAGCGUGCGUUUGGAAAGUUAAUAUUCAAAAUUAUUUUUGACUAAGAUAUUUUAAAAAAAAUAAAACUAAUGAAAUAUUUGGUAAACAUGAUUUACAAUUGAUUAAUUUAAUUAUUUGUGAAGGAGACUUGAGUGUAUUUAUAUAUGUGGAUGAUUCUCUAUAAUUAAUAUAUUAAUUAUAUAAUAGGAUCAAGUUGAGUUUGAUGAUUUGAGUAAUGAAGGAGUUGAAUAACAUUAAUUCAAAGAAUAUAUGUAAUGCACAUGAAGAAGACAUAACACUAAACUCACCGACACCAUGUAAAUUUAAAAAAAUAAAUAAAAAUAGCCGUUGUAGAAGAACCUGGAGGAGUAUAAAAUAAUAAUUAUAUUAUAAAUUUUAACUAUGGUUUAUUCGGUUUACUUGUAUUAUUAUAUUCAAAGGUUUGAAAUUUCAUGUCAGAUUUGAAUUUUGUUGUUUGUUUUUUAUUGGUACACGUGUCGAAAGCCAGUGAACACAGGUAUGAUAUUGUAAACAAUAAGAAAGAAAAACAUUUUUACAUAUCUCACCCCAUUCUAUACAUAUUUUUUGUUAUCUGAUUCUACUUGUCUCUGUUGUCUCCCAACAAGGAAAAUUAAUUUUAACCUCAUUCUGUAAUGGCUUUGAUUAGUUUUAUUUACUUGAAAAACGUACCAUGACUUUAUCUUAGUACCAUUUAUUUCUCCAAGCUUCUAUAAAUAAUAAAUAAGGGUUAAAUAUGUUUUUAGUCCCUGUAGUUUGGGACGAUUUUGGUUUUAGUUCAAUUUCAAACUAAGGUACAAUUUAGUCUUUAACUUUUGAAAACUCUGGUUUUAGUAUUUUUUACCAAAUUUUUUUAAUUUUAUUUGUUGCUUCAAACACGUUUCAUUAUAGCAUUUGGAUUGUUUACACUGUUUGGCACAUUUUUGCUUCAAUGUUAACUAAGAAACGCGUUUGAAACAACAAAUAAAGUUAAAAAAAAUUGGUAAAAAAGACUAAAACCAGAAUUUUCUAAAAUUGAAGGACUAAAUUAUACCUUAGUUUGAAAAUGGACUAAAACUAAAAUCGUCCCAAAAUAUAAGAACUGAGAACAUAUUUAACCCUAUAAAUAAUAUGUUGUCACAAAAAUACUUACAAGUAAAUGACACAUAAUUAAAUUAAAAUUGAUUUUAAUUUUUAUAUUCAAACCUAUAAAGGAAAAGUGUGGCUAUUAGGUCCACUAGACAUCUUAUGAAAUUGUUAGAUAUAUAUGUAAAAAGUAGGGAUAGGAUAUAGAAGAUAGAUUUAUGCCUUAUAUUACAUUGCACCAGUUUUUCCUGGUUGGACAAUCUAAGGUACAAUACUAUCCAUUAUUAUUAUUAAUAUCUUCAUAGCCAUAGCCAUAGCCAGCUGUGUAUCUUCAUUAAUUAGGUUUUAUAUAUAUUAUUAGUAACUAGUAAUACAUCAUUAUCUAUCCAUUAAAAACUGUUUGAAUCGUUUUCUUGGUGUUUGAAAAGUAAACCAUUCAGAUUUAUGCCAUACAAGCAUUUAUACAAGCAUAUACUGUGCAUACGGGGAAAUUAUCAACCUCGUAUACUUUACUUCAUCUUCAUUAUGACUUGUGUGCAAGUUAGGCUCCACCCUUUUCUUUCAGCUAGUCAAUAAUACCACCAAAUGCCGCUGUCAUCUUCCAACUAGCUUUUAACUAAUUUUGGCAUAAAAUUUAUGAUUAGUUGUAAUUUGGGAUACAAUUUUGAACCCUUUGUCGUCCUAAUUCGUUUGCAUUUUUCUUCUUUCAUUGAAAGAUGAGACAACAUCGUACGUCAUGACCUGCAAUAUUGAUUUGAGAGAAGAAUAUAUAUUUGUAUAGAGUGGAGGUAAAUGAUUUAGGGUGAAUUGAAUUCGUAUUAGUUAGUGAGUGAUGUAAAUAAAGAGAAGAACAUAGAGAGAAUGGAAGAGGAAAUGAAUAAAAUAUAUAGUUGCAUACAGCUGUGAUGAUGAAAAAGGCAACGGUGUACUGUUUAAUGAUUAUGUUUGAUGAUGAAAAUUUUAGUAGAAAAUGAGAAAGAGAUUGGCGUAUGUGUUUGUAUGCAGUAUGAUAUAUGAAGAUGAGAUUUGAUGAUUAUGUUAGUAUAUAGAAAAAUUGUUUGUGUGUGAGAGGGCAUAACAUAAUUAGGGAGGCGUGGACCACGUGCAUGAUGAAAUGCUUCAAACAAGCACAAUGUCUUCCCUCAGCCGCCGGGGCCCGCGACCACAUUAAAAAAGGCAAUUUGGAUAUUAUGUUAUGUCUUUUGUCCGCUCCAUUAUGUCUUUACAACUUUCAACAGAUUCACAGUAAAACUAUUAUCAAUGUUAUUUUGUUUAUUCUCAACCGUUGCCUGUGUUUCAUCGUUUCAAUGGAACUUACAAAGGUCAAACUUACCUCUACAAGGAGUAUAUUUGAUGGUAGUUUUGUUUUUCACAUGGGGGUUUGUGCAGUUUCAUUAACAUACAUAGUUUAAGCAGAUCAUAUCGUUAAUCUAAACUUCCUCUGUGUAUUUUAAAAUUGGAGUUUAGGUGAGAGAUUGGGAAAUUAAUGAUAUUAAUGGUACCUAAACAUGUACGCUUGUUCAAUAAAUUAUAACUCUCCUCCACGUGUUAUAUUCCAGAUGUGACUGCUUAGCCACGGAUCGGUAAACAUAUGUUGACAGAAAGAUGAAUCAACAACAAAAGGAAACAUGGAUCUCAGACAGUGGUAGCUGCACCUUGUAACAGGGCAUUUAAUUUACUUGUAAUGGACAAAUUUAAGUUUUUAUGGCUUUAUACAUUAAUUUGAAACCCAUUCCUAGAGCAAUAAGAUUUGUAUUAUUCAUGGCAUUACGUAGAUUUCAUGUUUCUUGCAGAUCCGACAUAUAACAUGAAAGAUGGCACAAAUGGCCCAUCAUGGUUUUUUAGUCCCGUGAUUUCUGUGCUACCCAGUUGGAGAAAAUCUGAUGCAAUAUUGCAAGUGUUGAUCUUUAGUUCAAACUGUGCAUGCAGCAAUGAUAAUAGUAAAAACUGGAGGUAUGGUGAACCUUUUUGUCUGAAAAAUUGUGAGCCACUGCUAACAUGGAUAUAUCUUACAUUAUAUAUCCCAAUUUCCUUUCUUCUUUCCCACUUCAGGCCCCUCACCCAGUAUAUUCUACAAAAGUCAUUGUGAUGGUAUUAUUAUUAUUAUUUUUUUCAAUCACUCAAUCAUGUUGGUGGACAAAACAUAAAAGUAUAGCAUGUCGUUUUCAUUCCAAUAUUUUUAUGUACCCUUUAAUAAUCCAUAUGCUUUGCAUCUGUAUGGCAGUAAGUUUCGGACUUCAACUCAUUGAUUUCCCCAGGAACACUAUUCUUUUAUUUCAGUACAGCCAAACCCUUUAUCACUUUAUUGUAAAGCCUUAUGGUAAUUCUGCUGCACAUUAGAUGUUUGGUAGGUAAAUUUUCAGAUUAAAUCAUGCUUUAAAAAAGUUUGAUACGAAGUCAUGUGAUUAUCAUGUGUUAUCUUGAAAAGGUAAUAAGAAAAAGGCAGGGUUAGGAAUAGAAACAUUGAACAUCUCAGAUGGAUGAUGGAUGCAUUAUAAAAUGAAUUGUAUUGUGGAGAUGAAAUACGUGUUGCUUUAGAGAGAAGGUUUUAAGAAGAAGAAUAUUGGGAAUGAUCAAUAAUUGAAACAUUACUAUCUUAAAAAGCAAGCUAAAGAAAACAAAAGAAAACAUAUUUUAAUAAAAUGAUUGGGUUGGGGUGUUGAAGAUGAAGAUAUAUUGUAUGAAAAUUGGACCCAUAUGCCUCGUUUUUGUUGUCCCACGUGGAGUCUAUUGCUCUCAUUUUUAUUUUAUUUCAAAUGGAAACCUAAUCAUCACAGGUCACAUUCUCUUUCUCUUGUGUCCUUAGCGAACCAGACGAGAACUUUCCUCUGUUUUGGUUGAAAAGUCUUUGGCUUCCUCCAAUUUUCAAAAUGUAUCAAAUUACUGCAACUCAUUCACCUCUCUUCAAAAUUCUCACUCUUGGUAUCCAAUGUUUCUCUUUUUUUACUUUCUCACCUCAUCAAAUACCCCAAUUUCAAAAAGUUAAUCAUGGAUUGACCCAAAAUCAAGCUUCAUACAAAUUUUCAAAUUUUGCUUGCAAUUCAUAAAGUUCUUUAAUACCAUUCUCAUUUUUUAAAACUUGCAAUGAUUUGUUGUAUGUGCAAGCAAACUGCAAUUUCAAUUAUUUCGUUUUCAGUGGUCUUCAGAAGUUGUUUGUGAGUGCGGAGAUAAGGACGCCAAUCAAUUCAUAAACUUCCUAAGAAAAGCAAACAUUGUGAAACAUAUUGUCAUGUUCUGAUUAUUCCAAAAUCAAAGUAAAUUGACUACUUCACCCUUCACCUUUUCUUUCAACAGAUAUGUGUGUUUUUAACCCUGUACCUGAGAUCCAUGAACCCCACUUUUCAUGAGGCUGCUAUGCUAUAUUUCCUUAGCUUUGCUUGUGUGGAACUAACCAAUGUUCUUACUCGUGUUUAAUGUAAUUAAAGAGUCAUAAUUGAGGCACCAACCAAAAAAUAGGAAUUACACAGUUAACACAAUUGCCUUGCAACUAAGAAUCAUCUGUCAUUGAGGCAACCACUGUUGUAAUUGCACAUAAAAGUGUAUCUGAAUUUGACAAAAAAGAUAUUUAAAAACUUGUGUAGUAUACAACACAUUAAAAUAUGAGGAGAAUAGUCAAUCCUAAAAUAUUAAUAGUCCAUAAAGUAAUAAAGAGAAAGUGACCCACCCAAGGUUGCAAUGCAAGUAUCAAACUUUAUCAACACAUUCACCAAAUUUGUCCUCAUGCCUCUUAAAAUGUGGAAUCAAGUGGGCACACCACAACUAACUUAGGUGCCAUUCCUUAAAUGUUUAUAGUCUUGUUUCUAAUCCAUCGAGUUUCCACUAAAAUUGCUUUCAUAAAAUCUAUUUUUCCAUAACCUCUCUCGAUAAGGCCUGUCUUAAUAAUUAGUUAGCUUAUAAUAUACCAACAUCAAUGUAUUUUUAAUGUUUAACAGAGAAGAAUCCCAAAAUAUUAAGUAGAGAAUCUGAAUUCGACAUUUGAUGUUAUGUUAACUUUUAUUUCUGGAUUUUUGGAGUAAAACUCGGAAAUGGAUACCUAUUGCAAUGACUGUUGGUAAGAAAAGUCAUUCCGUAGCCAAGUUUGUCUUGGCCACGUUUUUAUCAGAGAGCCCCCUACUUGCUAAAACUGUGUGGCAAGUAAGGUCAGUUAUCUUUCCUCUGACAUUGAUUUACUCAUUCUACCAAGAAUGUUGUCAGUAAAUAAAAUGGUGUACCUAGUCAGUUUUUAACUCCUGAAAGAUUAAUUGAGAUUAGAAUUUUGUGGAGUUGAGGAAGACAAAUAGUACAAGGCAUUCUUAUUUUUCAUUCAUGGCUUGCCUUGAACGUUUGCUACAUUUGUAGAUUAACUGCACAGGCAGACUGCUAAUAAAUGUGAAAAUGAUAGCUUUCCCAAAACAGAUAAAAUCUAAUCCAUUCAUUCUAUCACACCCAAUAAAAGCUGCAUUGGGAUCUUAUGCAGCUUUGCAUCACCUAAGACGUUUGUGUUUAUACAAAAAAAACUUGUACUUUUCAUGUGGGGGCCUAAUAUUUGAGUAAAUGAGAAUUCCAAGAUUCACCCGUUUGCAUAUAAGUUUCGAAUAUUGUUUUAGAAGUUUAAGGCCGAAACAUUUGGCUUAUGUGCUCAUAUUUAUAAAUCGCUGUAAGCUCUGGUAGCUUUGUCUGAAGCACUUUUCUUAGCUCAGGCUCUGUAAUCAGAAGACACCAGCUUGAACUCUGACAACAAAGAAAUCCUUAUGAUCCACUUGGCUGCAAAGAAAAGACCUACCACACAGAAGUAACAUACUUCCAUUCUGUGUUCCAUUUUUCAUUUUUUUUUUCCUGGUGUCCUCGUUUCAUUCUCUGUAUCCUAAAAAAGGAGAAAAUGUUUCGAUCAUGAACCCCACUUCCCAUCUCACAGAGUCCACCACUGUCACUGCCACUUUUUAUCAGUUGCUAUCAUUAAUGCUACUCCAAAGCUGUUACUUGUGAAUAGACAGAAUCUUAAUUAAGCUCUGUGCAUGCUCAACUACAAGACAUAAUCGUGGCGUCUGACCGCAAAGAAAUCAUCAUGCUUUGUCAAAACCUCACAGUGCCACUCCAAAGUUUGGCUCACUUUAGAUUUGAUUUGAAUAUAUAUAUUUGAUUUCGUAGAAUCAAGCUUUCACCUUUUCCAUACACUAAUCAUGAGAGUACGACUAUAUAAUUGCUUUUCUUUUCUCCCCUUCUCUGAUCAUAACAAGUUGUGCAGCUUCCAUGUAGCAUCCAACGUACAGCAAGCAGGAUACGAUACGCAUAGUACAUUUUAAGAGUUGAACUUAGGAAGUACCACCUCAAAAAGGAGGGGCAAUAUAAAGCAUGCACAUAUUAAUUUUACUCAUCCAAACUAGUUAAAGCUUCUCCAUUCUCAAAGCUUCUCAUUCAGUUUCCUGCCAGAAUGGACUGACUAGCUCACUUCUUGCAUGUCAGUUGCAUUCAUGUUACUUUCAAACCAGAGACUCUUGUGUUGUCUACAAGGAUGAAGGUUUGCCCAUAAAUUCAUUUUAAAAAAAGAUUUAGAAAAUUAUAUAAAAAAAUCCAAUAAAUUAAAUUAAUUUACGAAUAAACUACUUUAAACUUUAAAAAAAUAUUUUUAUUUCUAUUAUUUUCCUUACCAGCAUCACAUUUGUCUAAUAUAUAUCCAUAAUUCACAUUCGGAGUAAUUCAUUCACCUGCCCAUGAUAGUUUCUUUUAGAAAAAAGCUUGCUUAGCAUCAUAUUCACUUGAAAAACAAUCAUGACAUUUAAGCCACGCCAAACACCAUAUACCAAGGAGCAUCCGGUCAAGUUACUCUAAAGAGACGACAGAGUUGCGAGGUAGUAAAAAACCAGUAAUUUACGCUCUGCAAAUCAUUAUGUGUGACAAAAGGUUAUCAUGCCAUAUACACAGAACAUUUUAUAAAGUUAGCAAGCUCAACAUGAUCAUAUGCUUUAUCAACUAGAAUAUUAUUUAAUAAAAUAUUUAUAAAGAUUAGAAGUUAAAGUUCUAAAAUACUAAAAUUGAAAUAUUCUUAAAAAUAUAUCAACAAUGUCAAAAAAAGUUAUCCAAGUAUAAAUUGUUAUAUAAUUCAACAUUGUAACAUUUGUAAUAAUUUCUCUUAAUAGAAAUUAAAUUAAUUAUUAUAAAAAUCAUCCUUUUACUUGAUACAAAAUUAAUUACAAUACAAUUUACUCUCGUUUUAAUGGUAACAAAAAUAAUAACAGUACACAUUACCUUUUAAAUGAAUUGUAUUAAAUACAGUGGAAUUAACUUAAUAGUAAUCAAUUUAAUUACAACACAGAUUAUAUUUUUAUAAUUAAAUUAAUUAUGAUACAAAUUACCCUUUCAAAUAAUUAUGAACAGUAUAAAUUAUUGUCAUUGCACACAAGUGCAAAAAUUAUAUACAGUAUAAUGAAUAAGCACAUUCACUCUUUCGAAAAUGGUAUUGAUCUAGGCAUCAGUAGGAAGAAGCGGGAGCAAAAAAUUAGUAUAGUUCGUUUGACGUUGAAUGUCAGUAAGUUCUACUGCUGUCCAAAAAUAUAUCAGAUGAUGUGAGGUACUGUUACUUGAUCUUCAGCAGUUUGAGCUUUCAAUAUCUUUCGCAAGGCAUCAUGACAUCUGGCAAGUCCAACAAUUGACCAAACCAAGUAAAUUCGGUGAGAACUGAUCAAACAAUUUAAUUUAGAAAUGAGAAAAGGUUCUGGUUGUGUAAUCUGUCUUACCUCCAAGGAAGAUGAUCAAGGAACAUAGAUGGUGAAACAAUAAUAUCUUUGAAGCUUUCUCUAUCUGCGAUGUAAGCUUUAUAACAUUUUCCCCUCUCCUGCAUUCUCCACAACGUCUUAAGAUCAGAUUGUGAUGUUUGCUUCUCCAGUACAAUGUGAAUCACAGAACCAGGUAGGUACAGCUCUGGGGGAUCAUUGGAAGACGGAUUUUCAGAAUCUGGAACAGUCUCUAUAAACUGAGACACUGGAUCAUUAAUUGAACGUGCAUCUUUAGCAAAAGCAUUUGUAAAUUUGGCAUUAUCAAUUCCAACAGAAUGAUCCCUUGCCCUAGCGUCAGACCAAAGUGAGCAUUCUUCGUGCUCAUUGUUGAGGCAAUCUUCACUAUCAAAAGACAUGUAUUCACCAUAGUUGGAUAUACCAAGACCCCCUUUAAUGGUCUGAUUAUCUUGUUCAAUGCUGCCUGUUGCAAUAAUGGAAAUCUUUUUAGAAAAGGCACCUUUCACAAACUGAGUACGAUGAAUCAUGGAAGAAUACACAUUAUUUCCAACACUUAUAGGGUCACAAUAUAUAUUCUCCAACAUGCCUAAUAUGUUAUUAAAGAUUAGACCCCUUUAUUAUCAGUUUCAAACAUUAUUUCCAACACUUGUAGGGUAACAAUAUAUAUUCUACAACAUGCCUAAUAUGUUAUUAAAGAUUAGACACCUUCAUUAUAAGUUUCACACUGGCUUCUGUGCAUUUGAUGGUUUAUAUCAUCCUUGAUGGUCCCUGAUUGGAGCUCGGAUUCAUUCUCAGCAUUCGUGUUAUUUCUCUGAUAUUUGCUUAGGUAUAGAAACCUACGAGCAAGUCUGAAAAUCACGGCACUAUCUGCUUUAGGAUCUUGUGAUAGUGAAGUGAUUGCAGCUGCCCUUAGCCGCAUAACGGAUCCAACUGAAAGGCGUGAUGAAAACUCAUUACCAAAUAUGAUGCUGCAUCAAAAAGAAUAAAAGCAAGCAGAAAGGAAAUUAAAAGUGUUACCCAAAGAGAGUCAACCCAAAUCAAACUUUUUACUAGUACGUACCUUGUCACAAAUUCUGAGCAUGCUUUUGCCACAACUAAAUCCAGACAAGGGAGUGGCCCAUAUGAAUAAACGUGCAGAUUAGGGUAGCGGUUAUAGAGCUGUGGGAAAAACCAGAAUUAAUUUUGUGCUAUAAAAUCAAAUGCUUAAAGACGGCAGCUAAAAAAGACCAAAAAGUGCAAGGAAAAUUUUCUUUCUAAGUACUGAAUGUUCAAAACUUGAAGGAAAUUAGUUGCAAUUAAAAAAUAAAUUAUGCAAUACUAGAGGAAACAAUGAUGAUUUAAUGACUUAAAUAAAUGUUCGCAUAUGAGUUUAUUAAAUAAUCUUCUAUUUGUGAAUUUUUUAGCCCUUUAUUUUCAAUGCUUAAUUGAGUUUUUCAACUCCCCUUGAUCUUAUAUAAUAUCAGUAUUAGAAUAAAAAAUAAUUAGAUAUAAUAGAUAUUAUAUAUAAUCGGUUAUUAUGUUUGCUCUAAUACUGGUAAAAAUACCGUUUUUUUCUUUUUUGAAUAUUAAUUCUUGUAAGUAUGCUUUUGUUCGACAUUCUAGAUUUGAACAUGUCUAUGAUAAAGCCUUCGACUUUUGAGUAAUGAAAUACUUUUUGAUAUUGCACACAAUUUUUCCAAUUCCAAUUGUUACAUUUCUCCUCUUUCUAAAUAUUAGAAGAUUAUCUUUCACUUCACUCAACAAGGUCUUUCAAUCAUUAUUUGAUAUAGUAAAUUGUGACAUUUGGGAACCUUAACUAAUGUUAAGUACUUAUGAUGACAAACAAUAUUUCUUUCUUAACCUUGGCUGAUGAUUGUAGUCAUUUUACUUCGAUAUAAAUUGUCAAUCCAAUUUUGGGGGGAGUGUAUUUCCAUUGCAGCCUUUCUAAUUAUACGAUGUUUGGGUUGACUAUCCAGUACUACUACAAAAAUCACUUCUAUAUGAAUCCAAACUUGAUUAUCACUCAUUAAAAGCUUUAGGAUGUUUGGCUUAUGCAAAACUUUACCAGAAGACAAACAUUGCAUAGGGUUAAAAUGAGUUUUUAAAUUUAUAUAUAAUGUUGAUGCUUCAAUUGACAAAUACAAAACUUAGUUGGUAGUCAAAGGCUAUGCACAACAAGUUGAGAUUGAUUUCUAAAACCCCACUUUGUCAACAAUGAAUAAACUUACUUUUAUAAGGAUCUAUUAGCCAUUGCUACUGCAAAAGAUUAGAGCCUACCAUAGUUAGAUAUCAACAAUGCAUUCUUAAAUGGUGAGUUAUUUGAGGAAGUAUGCAUGGAUAUUUCACAAGGUUUCAAAACAUAAACAUAAGGAUUAGUUUGCAAAUUGAAUACGUCUAUACAUGGAUUGAAACAAGCCCCUAGACAAUAGUUAUGCAAGUUCUGCCUCAACAUUACCAAAACAUGGUUUUAAAUAAUCUAAAAAUGAUUACUCUUUGUUCAUUCAUGGUUCUAGCUUUUCAUUGGUCAUUUUGUUGGUCAAUGUGGGUGACAUUAUCCUAGCAAGCCCUAAUUCUUCUUUCGUUAACAAUGUACAAUUAAUAUUGAGUUCCAUGUUUAAACUAAAGAUCCUUGGUUCUCUCCAAUACUUUAUAGGCUUGAAAAUUGUCAAAUCCAGCAAGUGUAUCUCUUUGAGUUAAAUCUUCUAUCCAAAUUCCUUCAUUAAUUUUAGAACAAAUAUGAAUUGAAACAAAAAGGAAUGCCUUUCCUUUUGCGUAUUCACAAGGUAAGUUAGCUUUUAAGUUGUCCAUGAUUUAUAGGUUUUGCUUGCUGAAAAUGCAAUACAAUUAGGAUGUAUAAUUUCAAUAUCUCAUACAUUGUUUAGUCAAAUCUCUUUAGAUGGAUGCUGGUUUUAAUUUUAAUUAUAGAAAUUCCUGUACUUGAGUAACAUCUCAUUAAGAUUCAGAACUUGAGGAUUUGCAACAUUGUGACAAGGCGAGAAUUCAAUCCCCUGCUUGUGACCUCAAGCCAGCUUCAUAUUUGUUUCUACAAUUAUAUUUUCUAAGGAAGCAAAGAAUAUUCGUUUGCCUAUAUAUUGUUUUCAUAAUAGACUUUCAAUGAAUACCCAGUUCUCUGAAGCAAUCAAAAUAGCAAAUUAUGUUUACUAAAGAAAGAUAGUAAAGUAAAUAUUCCUAUUGAAGUGAAAAAUAUCAUACCUGCAGUCCAAGCAAUGCAGCUAUAGCUCCUCCAAGCGAAUGCCCGACUAUUCGGACAUUAUACCCAAAGCAUUCACAACCAAAUCCCAGUAAUUUAGAAAGAAGUCCAUAGGACUCAGAGUCUGCAUUUCCACUUCGAAAAACAAUUGUUGUCAAAAAUGAAAUUCAUUUUAUGUAAUCGAGUCAAAUGCUUUUAAAUUAAAUACAAUUUCAGUUCUAUACAUUGAACUUAUAAAAGGAAUUAAGAGAAAAAUGUUUUUAUAGGAAAUCAUGUGAGAAUGUACUAGAAAAACAUAGGAGAACGCAUUUUUAUGCAUCCCAAUAAAAACUUUCCCCUUUUAAUUCCUUACUCUGUUUCCCACUCAAUUACCUCAAUAGCGUAGGAAAGAGGACGAAGAAACAGUUUGAUAAGACCAAUUCUCCAUAACAAAGAACCACGAGUUUAAAAAACCUGAAUUAUUUCUUACCAGGCCUUUCGGGAUUUCCUUCAAUCUGCAUAAAAAGCUCUCGUGCAGCUUCAGCUAUGCCUGAAUGGCCAUAGUGAGGGAAAGAUGAAACCACAUUUUUCUUUAUAUCAUAAUGAAUGUAGUUGGAACUGAAAACAGGGCAAAAAAUAUUUAAGUGAGGAACCAGAAUAUUGUGCAGAACCAUAGAAAGGAUCUAUACAGUUUGGCCCACAUAAAACUAUUACACAUUGGAACUGAAACUAUAAGAUAUAUAGAGAGAGGACUAUUUCUGCAGAUAAAAGUAACUCAAUAGGGAUGUCAUUACUCAUUAGCCUUUGUUUAUAAACAGUUUAUAAUCAUGCAGCAUAGCGUAACAUGUCAUAAUUCAUUUUCCAGGAUAUGUAUGUGGCCUCCCUUCAGAGACAUUGAAAAUCAAUCCAGCAACUAUACCAGAGGAUUUGCAGAUAUCAUAAAAUUUAGAAGUUCAAAUUGCAUCUCAAAAUUGUGAGGAUUGUUUAUUGCUUUGUGAAUAGUUCCAGAAGAUUCAGAACAGUAUACUGACUCAACAAAAGUUAUUCCAUAAACAAAACUGGGCUAUUUUUUGGUGCUUAAAAUAUUAUAACCCUAGUAGUACCUCCAUAAGCUUCCCAUAUCUCCCCAUCAUUCUAAGGGCACAAGGUAUUGGUAUGUUAUUAUUAUAAGCAGUGACAACGCAGGCCUUAGCUAAUUGAAACAGUUAUGUCCUUGAAUCUUGAUCAAUCACUUCCAACAGAAAUUGCUUGAAUUGAUGCAAAUAUUGUCCUACAGUAUUAUCCUGUCAAUAGGCUUAUGAUUUGUGAUUUUAGAGCAAAUGUGAUACACACAAUUCUAACACCAUUUUGUAUUCUCACUUUGGGUUUUCUCUCUUUCUCGCUCAUUCAUCACACUUCGUAGUUCCUAUACAAUAUGCAACUAUAGAUAAAAAUAUCUAUUACAACUCCGAUAAAAUAGCUCAAGUAUUGGAAUAAACCUAGCACCGCUAUAUUUGCACUGUUCAACAACGCAGCAUUUGCCAACAAAGUAAUCAUUUUCUAUCACAGAAACCAAGAAAAAGAAGACCCAAACAGGAUAUAAGGAUAGAUGCUGAUAAACUGACAUUAAAAAGGAAGUUGAAAGUAAUAUGUGUUAUGAACUGUAGGUACUAGAGUAUUACAAUGUUUACAACCUGUGUGAAUUUUAUCAAUGAAUUAAUUGGGAAUUCUUAGUAAAGUUUCACCUCCACCCUAGGGUUAUCUAUCUUUAUGAAAAUGGUCAAAGAGACGAAAGGAGAAAGAAUGAAAAAUACUUGAUCAAGCCAGCCAAGUCAUUCACAGAAAGGGAGCAUUCCUUGCCUAACCCAUCAGUUAUUAGGUCCUCUGGGGUUUCAGUUCCACGUAUAGCAAUUACCACAGAUUGUAGAUGAUGUAGAACCACAACAAAAUAUGCAGCUUGACACUUGACCUGACAUGGGUAUCUAAAUAAUUAAAUAUAAAUUAAGCCAGCAUAGUAUAAAAAUAGAAAUAUUCAUAUAUCAUAAAUAAAUUUAGUAUAUUACCAUCAUCUCAACUCAAGUUAGAUAGAACUGAGUUUCCCCAUAUUUUAAAAUUAAAAAUUUACGACCACUAGGAAUCAAAAUACAAGGAUAUAGACUCAUGAGUUCAAAUCAAACGAAAAAUGGGGUUGUCAAUCCGUUUACAUUGUACGUAAAGUACCCCCUGAUCAUACCAAAAUCUACAUAAGUUUUUUUAUAAAUCUAUACUUGUCAGUUCAUUUGUUAUGUUCAUAUUUAUCAAACUAGUAUGUUAAAAAGUAAAUUUUAAAUGUUUUAUGACAAAAUAUAUAGUUUAGAUAGAAAAUUUUAAAAUAAAUUGAAGUUCCGAAAAUUUACAAGACUAAUGGCAUUACAUAAAAUCAUGGAAUUUCAAAUUACAACUAAAAAAAGUAAGAAUUUAAAAUUUUCAUGAACUCUCAUUUCUCAAGUCUAUGUCUCUUCUCUUUAUACUCACUCAUUGGCUUGCUUUUAGUAAAGAAGUCAUCAAUUCAGCCGUUGAUAGGUCUAAUUUUCAACCAAUGUUAGCCAGAGUUUUUUUAUUGACGUUAGUGGAAUUACAUUUCCGUCGAUGUAAGUUUUUCAGUCAAUGUUGAUAUGAGUUAUUCUAUGGCUAACAUUGUUGAGAUCAUUUUUCCGCUAGAUCUAUUUCUCAAUCAACACUAGUUAAGAUUUUCCUGUCAAAUGUCAUUGAAAUUAUUUUCGCUCAAUGUCUGGUGGAGUAUUUUUUUUUUUCGACACUGUAUGGAUUGUUUUCUGAUCGACAUUAUCAACAUUAGCUUUUGACAAAAGUUGGUCAAGAAUUUUUUCUUAACGUUGAUUGAGUCAACCAUGUCUAGACUUUUUUAGCCAAUGUCAACUGGGGUAAAUUUUAUCCUACAUUGGUUGAAAAGUUAGCAAAAUAAUAACCCAGACCAACAAUGUCAAAAGAAUAACCUUGAUUAAUGUCAUCCAAAAUAAUUAUGGAUAACACUAGCAUAAAAAAGAAAAAAAAAAAAAUCAACUGGUGUCAAUAGAAAAAACCCUUGUUGGUCUUAGGUAAAACAAGCUUGGCAUGAAAAAUAUAUUCUUCCCAACUUAUGUUGAAAGCCAUAAGCAAAUGAUACUUUUAAAUUAUUUAAUAUUGCUUACAAUUAAAAUGAGCUUUUUGUUUUUGGUGGUAAUUAAAAUAUUCUAUCCAAGCAAAAAUAAAAUUAAAUAAAUUUCAAUUGUCUUAUCCAAACAAACAUUUGAAAAAUGAAAACAAUCUGAAUUGAAAUCAAUUCAAUGCAUUUUAAUUUCCUUCAAACUGUGAAAUUAUCCAUCGACCACAUGAUCAAUCUAAAUAAAAUAAUCAUACUGUUGUUGGUUCGGGACAUCUACCUUUCUUGGGGAGUAUUAUCUUGUUGAUGAUGGGCUACCGUAAAUAAAAUCAAAACAUAAAUGGUGGCAACAUCUUUUAAGCAAUGUUAUUUAUUAUUACUGAUAUUCAGGCCCAUGUUGCCCUCUUUAUUUUUUCAAAACAUAAAGAGUGCUUUUGUACAAAACUCUAUAUGUUUUCAUGUCUAACCUGGCUGACUCGUCCUUGUCUAAGCACUUCUGGAGGCAAAUUGACGUACUUUAGAAAGGCCGCAGCAUGACCUCGCCACCAGUUAUCACCAUCCAGUACAGGUCGUCUAUGAAGAUAUGAAACAGGAACAUAAAAUCACAAUGUUGAAGACGAAACCUUUUAAUUUGUUAAUUGGAAAGGAUGUAAUGGAAAGGGAUACACGGAGACACAGAAUAGAGGAAAACCAAUGAUAAACGAAUCAGUAUGCAUGAGCGCCACUAAGAUCUGAAUAAAAAUAUCAACAACCAUUCAGAAAUUUGUCUUGUAAACACACGGGUAUGCAUAGUGGUAAUUGAGUAAAAGUAAAUACAUCAUCAGCCAUUUAUUCUUUUGUUCGCAUAUUCUUUUAGCCUCUCCUUUUCCAAUUCAAUCAUUCACUAUUCUUCAUUCUUCACAUUUACUUUAUUGUCGAAUAUUCACCACUAAAUACAACUUUGCCUAUAAUGUUUUUGUUUCAUGAUUCAUGAAACUGUUACACGUUGCAAGGCUAAAAAAAACCAUAGACCUCAAAAAUGGAAGUAAUUCCCUUCCCAGAACUAAAAUCAAGAAGCAAAAUUUUGAAUCUUGUAUCAAAAUUUCCAAUAAACAGAAUGAGAACACAUCCACAUCAGUUAUACAAACUUAAGCUUUUGGAGUUUGCUGACAUAUAUUUGGAUACAUCAUACUUUGUAUCGAUUUAAUAAAUCCAACUACGAUGAAAUAAUACUUUUUUUCANUUCUUAAGAUGAAAGAAAUAUCAACAUAAUUAAGGAAAAAGCUACAUUGAUGAGGGGAAANUACCAUUUUANAGACACUGACUGGAAAGAAAAAACUUGAGAAUAAAUCAAACUGAACAAAAUAGAACUCUCCAAACACCUUGCAUUGAUAAGACAUACAAUUUGAAGUUUAUAGAUCAUUUCAAAGUUACAAAGAACAAGUAUCAGAACCACCUUGAUCACAAAGUUAUCAUUUGUACUCAACCAAUAGCACUCAAAUUUAAAAACCCAUGCUACUGAGAAAGUGAGAAUUCGGUUAUAAAGACCUUUGUAUGCAAAAAGAAAAUGCCACCUGUUUCGGGUCCAGGGAGACAAAAUCCCUUGUCUAUACAGCCACGCACAAGGAAAUACACAUGGAUUUCGUCCAACAUCAAGCAAUGGACCCUGCAUUCAUCAUUGAAUGCAAAAUAGGUGUUCAAAGCAAGUUAGUAAAAACAAAACAUUAAUUUGGAAUUAGUUUAUUAUAGUAAUACUGUGUAUGCAGCUUCGGCAAAUUUAUGAAGAGCUUCAGCCUCCCUAAUUCGCAUCUCUGGUGCUUCCAUGGAUCCUUCAUAGGAUUCUGUAGAUAUUCCAUGGUUUUGAAGUAAAGCUAAAGCUGAACAACAAAAACUCAAUGUCAUAAAAUUGCAAAGAGCUGACGUGCAGGUGAAACUAAAUUGGUGCAGGUCAACAUUAUUGCAAUAAUAUGCCACACGUCCAUCUGAAAGAUGACCCAUUACACAAUAUCCUAUUUAGAUCAUACUAUAAAUCCUUCACCGGCUACAUCCCUCAACUUGAUCCAGUCAACCACAUGUUAACAUUUAACUACUAUGGUAAUGUACUGAGUUUAUGAUGAAAAGAGAAAAAAAAGAAAGACAGAGUAGAGUAGGCGACUAAACAAGCCAGUGGCCUCUAGUAGUGAAAAAUCUUUAAUAAGGCUUGGUUUUAGAUAACUGUUGUAAUCUGUGUUACGUUUUGCUGCUUUGUCUCAAGGAGGAUACCCUUGUUCAUUUUCUUGACAAGUAUUUGAUGUGUGGCAUAGCUUGAACUAAUAAAGUUGCCUUGAGAACGAUGUUAUUGUGCGACAUAUAUAAAGCAUAAAAAGGCAACGAGUUUGAGAUGAAAAUUAGAAGAAACCUGCCAAGAGUUCCAAAUGGCCAGUUCCGGAAGCACGAUAAGCAACAAGAUCACCAAGUAAUCGUGCAACUGAAUAGACUUCAUCUUCUUCGGCUGUACUCCUGUGUUAGUUAUUAAAGGAGCAGAGGUGAGAUAUAGUGAGAAACAUUGUGGUUGCGGGAGAAAGGUAAGGUUUAGUUAUAGGAGUAUACAUAUAAUUGAACCGGCCCAGACAACACAAGGUCUCACGUAUGCCAUGAUCGAAGACCUCGCUAUAGUGGCAUUUCCAAGCGUGAUCAUGGGUUUCGUAGAAAGACCUCCAUUUGAUAACAUCGGAUCCCGUGAAGCACUGGAGUAUGGCAACAAAAGAGACGAGGAUGAUGAAUGCGAAUAAAGCGGUGCGAUUCAAUGGGGAAUCUGCAUUACAUUGGUAAAGAUUACAGAAAGAAUGGGCAGAAAGAAGGAUGGAAAAGAGUGGGUUCCAGAAUUGACUCACCUACGACCUACCUAAAAGACAAUGAUUGGAGGAGGAGAAAUGGCGAGUAGAAUCGAGAACAAGGUAAAGCGCAAAGAGAAAUUGAAGGACGGUAAGGAUGGCCGAAGAUCGACUCCAGCAGAGCCAUUUCUUGUACAUGGCCUGUUAAUCAAUUGAUUGGAAAAUGAAGAUUGAAAAAAAAAAAAAAAAGAGAGAGAGAGGAGGAGGAGAUGUGAUUACCCACCCGUCUGCGGAGGCGUGUAAAGAGAUCGUUGGAGUCUUGAAGGAUGAGGGCGGCCGCGGCUUCUUGGGCAAAUGCGGUUUGCAACAUGACAAGAAGCCUAAUUGGAGCGGCGAGGGAGACAAGGAGGGCUGGAAAGGCGAUGCGGCCAUGACAGAGGCGGUGAGUUUGGAAGAUGAAGAAGGCACCGAUGAGAAGCACUGCCAUGUUGGAAACUCCGACAAGCAAGCUCCACCGGCUGAGGUUUCUCACAGCCAAACCCAUACCCGUACCCGUUACCUGCACCAAUCACAAUUCAAAUCAUCCAUCCCCAUGCUUUCAUCUUCACAAUUCCUCAUUUCCACGCACGGGAACACUAAGCAAUUCCUCCCACAAUUCCAUUAUUUUAAAUCAACCACAACUUCGCUUUUUAAUUAAAAUAAAUAAAUCAACCAAACAUAAAAAUUAAAUGCAUCAGCAUAAUCUCAGAUAUAAAUAAACAUAUUUCACCUUGCAGUCUUACAAUAAUAAUAAAAUAAAAUAAAAAAUUGAUCCACGAAACUACGAAAGACGAGAGAAACUAAUCGAUAUUAAAAUAUGUUUGAAAUAGUUAAGUCUGUUAAUUAACUGGAAAACAUUAUGUUAAUUAAUAUCCGUACACAUUGCAUUAAGCAAUUUAAGUAAUUAAAAAAGUGGGAAUAUAAAAAUGAAGAAAAAUAGAAAGGAGAGGAAGAAUCGGAGGUGGCGGAGAGAGUGGAUGAGGAAUCAAAAGAUUCUGUGGGAAUGAGGGCGACUUUUGUUAGCAUUGGCAUACGAUACUAUGAAUGGGGUCGUGUUUGUAAAAAAGUGGCACGUGACCCAAAUGGCAGUCAGCCAAUGCAAAUGCACAAUGCGCAGGCAGUCUUAAAGUAUUCCACAAGUGGCAUACACCCACCAAUGCCAUCGCAUCCAUCUCUAUCUAAAUUGCUUAUUUCUAAAUCCUCCAACCAAACCAACUUGCUUUCUGCUUUCUACUUUCUCCAUCUCCCUCUCCACUGUUCUCCACCCAUGUAUCCUUCUUCCUCCUCCUCUUCCUCUUCUUCUUCCUCUUCUCAAUCCAUGACCCACGCGCCAACUGGCCUCACGCGCUACGGCUCCGCACCGGGCUCUCUCCUCACCACCACCGUCGAUGCUCUCAUCGGAGGAUCACGCCCCACCCCCACCCCCACCCCUUACUAUUCCGGAGGAGACUCUUCCGACUCCACCUGCAAAGACCAAACAUCAUAUCACAACCACGCCCUCGGAUCCGCCUUGCUCCGUCAGAAAAGCUCUCCCGCCGGCUUCCUCUCCCACCUAGCUUCCACACCCACCGCCCCCACUCCCAAUCACAACCACAAUGGUAACUUACUUAUUCUUCCUCAAUUAUUUUUAUUACUGCAAAUUAUCCUUUCGGCCCUGGCCCACUUUUUUAGCGGGCCCGGCCCAAUUGUCUAUCCACGUGUCUCAUCUCUGCUCAACGCAACGCAGGAGCGGGGUUCACAAUCACGCGGGGUUCUCGUCUGAAGUCCCAGCUGAGCUUCACGGGUCACUGCCAAGAAUCUCUCUGCGGCGGCGAUAACACUAACAAUGUGGUGCUUGGCGAUCAUGCCACCUUCGGAAUGGAGCCUUGGGACAGUUCUCAUUCUCAUUCUAAUUCCAUCGCCUUUUCCGCUCCUCCAACUAAGCGCUCCAAAAGCUCCAACUCCAGCGAUCAAGACAUUCUCCAUUGCCUCAACGCCUUGGAAUCUCAGUUUAGCCUUCCACAGACCACUCUCGAAAUGGCAACUGUCGAGAAGCUCUUGCACAUUCCUGAAGACUCCGUCCCUUGUAAAAUCCGUGCUAAGCGAGGCUGUGCCACUCAUCCCCGCAGCAUUGCUGAGCGGGUAAUUGCUCGACUACUCCUACCUUCUUCUUUUUUACUUUCUCACUCCUCCUUCUUCUAUUCAACUCCAUCCACUUCAAACACAGGAGAGAAGAACCAGAAUAAGUGGAAAGCUCAAGAAAUUGCAGGACCUUGUACCUAAUAUGGAUAAGGUAUUGUUUCUAUUUCUGUCUCCUUCUUUUCUUAUGUCAAACUACUCUCUUAAAUGGGGAAGCUCUCUUAAUCUUGUUUCAAAAUGUCUUUAAUUCAUUGUAGCAAACAAGCUAUGCAGACAUGCUCGAUUUGGCCGUUCAGCAUAUUAAAGGUCUUCAAACACAGGUUCAGGUCUGUAAAACAACCUUACCCUUCCCCCCUCUCUCUCUCUCUCCAACACUUUUCAUUCCCAUGCCUAUUCACAAAUUAUCGAUUAAAUGCUUCCAAUAUAUGAAAUCGCUAUACAAAUUAUAUAUCUACAAUCACGGUGUCUUAUAACAUGCUUGGGUGAGAAUUGGACGACAUUGGUACUUGAAAGUUACUGCAUUUGGUGUGUGAUUUCAGUAAAAUAUGAAUUAUUUUUGUUUGCUAAAUUGAAUUUCAAUUAAAAUUUCCCUUUUUCAGUGCAUCCCUAUAUCUAUUGUUGUGUUAGGCUUUUUACCAACCCUUUGCGGAUGAGGUGUAUUAAGUAUACUUACCCUUCAUUGAAUGCUAAUUACUGAAUAAAUCUGAAGUCUUUAGUUUUAGAAGAAAUAUGCAAAUUAAGUAAUCUAUAAAUUAAUUGCUGGAGGAAAGUUCUAGUGCCCACGAGAAGGCAGAAACAAUGAAUGCUUUAACCUAGGUGUAUCAAACAUAAAUAUGAACCCUUGACUGAAAUGCGAGACAGGGCCACUUUCUCUCUGAUAAAUCUUCACAACAUACAUGAACAAAUGCCUCCCCGAUUUCUUCGUCGUAGGAAUUUCAUUUCAGUCGUCUCCACCAAUUAAUUCUCUGUAAAAUAAAAAAAGUUGCUAAUGGUUGUGAAGCCUGGAGAUUACUCAGCUGCUGAUGGAAAAAUAGUUCAAUAUCAAGCUUGGGAUAUUUUAGCACCCCUAAAACGUGCGUUAGCUCUUGAAAACAAACAACUUGCUGAUACAGGGCAAUGUUACUGUCCUCCUUUGAGAUUGUCGUGCUAUCUGGUCACUUCGAACAUCGCUAUUUUUCUCACGUAGCUAGCACCUUUCCACACUGGCAAGCAAAUCCGCAACCAAGACCUCUAGCCAUCAUCAUUAACCCGUCAGCCAAUCACCACUUCCUUCUGUAACAUACCAAAUGAGCUAACAUAAACCAUAUCCUAAAUAAUCAAAGUUUUUUACUGCAAAGGAAACCAACAAAUCAAUAUAGUUCAACUGUAUUCACUCUCUUCUAUCAUGGCUAGAAUUAAUGCUUCUGACUACCCGAAUUAUUCUCCAUUCUCCCAUGUCAUGCGCGUGAUAAACAUCUUUACAAGUUGUCAGAAUUAGUAGUUUUCCAUUCCCCGAGCCAAUUAGCCCAGUCUCAAUCCCUUGACUCUUCUCUCUUCUACAAAGCUGCCGCACUCUAGCUCCUUUAGGAUUCAGAUAGUCACUUUUCACCCUAUGGAUAAUUUUGCAAACUUCAACAACUUUUUGUCUUUUUACGAGGGGCAAUGGACCAUGGUAAACUAGUUUUAACUUCCCUUGCUGUUCCGACCUUAAUAUAGUUGGGGUCACUGCUAGAUUGAAGUGACUUUGUCAAAAGUUGCCUUGAAAAGUCUUCUCAUUGGGAGUUAAGACCAAAGAUAAAGGACAAAAUUUAACGUAGGUGAUCUUAGCAAUGUCAAUGGUAGGAACGUAGGUGUCACGUGUGCAUUUAAAACAUCAUUUUAUGUCAGGCAGCUGGUUUCAUCGAGUAUCACCUUGCAUAAUGAUUUUUUUGUUGCAUACCGAAUACAGUAAUAUUUUAUAUUUAUUUAUAAGUAGCGAUGCGUUAACAUAACCUUCGACUACAAUUUUACCCGGUUAUAUUUUAUAUUUAAAUUUACCAUAAGCUGUGAUGCACUAACAACAAACCUUUACUACACUUUUUACAAGACGAGACUACUAAUGCUUUAUUUAGUCUUUUAAACAGUAAUAAUCUAUUAAAUUGUUCUUCAAAAGGAAUAGAAUAAAAUAGUAAGCUUGUCCUUAAAAUUGUACAUUUAUCAAUUUAGUCCUUUAAAACAUAAUAGAUGGUCAAAUUGAUAUCUGAAAUUGAUAAAAGAUAAUACGGUCCUUAAAAUUAAUUACAUAUUUAUCUAGUCUUUAAAAUUGCAAUCGUAAAACAAAUUGAUUCAUACUUAUAGAUAUUUAGUUGUACUUAAUUCUUUUUAAUUUACUAAGCGAAAUAUAAGCCUACAUACAGGUAAAAAAAAAAUGAAUUUAAGCUUUUAUGUUUAAGGUUCGAAUUAUCUUAUACAAUUUGAAAGACUAAACUGAUUCGUAACUUAAAAUGUUAAGGACUUUUUCAUCAUUUUAUUUAUUUCAGGGGUAUUACGAUUUGAAGUACUAAAUUUAUGGAUAAUGUACAUCUUCAGGGAUCAAAUUGCUAUUUUAUUAAUUUCAUGAACCGUCUUAUCAUAACUACAAAUACUGAAUUGGAGGUUUACUCCUUUUAACUUAUUGUUUUUUAUUUACUAUUCAUUCAUCUUGUUCUGUCCACAUUACUCAACUUGAUCAAUAUUUACUUGUACAGAAUUUGUUUAUGAGUAGCAUUAUCCUUUAUAGAAAAUCAUAUUCAUACAACCAAUGUUUAUAACAACGGUUCAUACAAACAAGAGGAGGAUAAGAAAAAAGUAGUGUUCUUUAACUCGUAUAAUUUUGUUUUAUCAAUAUGAUAUUUCUAUCCCAAUCGAGGUACAGGUUGAAGCUGUAAUUUUUUUAGCAAUAGAAUAAGAAAGGACUGGAUGUGAAAAGUCGCAUUGAAUAUUUUAACAGAGUAGAUUGUGAUCUCCUUAGUCAUGAUUCCAUAAUUGUUUUCCUUUUAGAGUUUUACAUAUCGUGAAGAAUAAGAAUUACACUUAAUAAUUCAAGCAUCAGUUAAUUGCUGGUCUUGAUAACAAGAUUAUUUUUUUCGCCCUCUUUCAGAAGCUUCACAAAGAACUUGAGAAUUGCACUUGCGGAUGCACACAAAGCAAAUAACAUUUUGUUUUACCAGAUUCUAUGCAAACGCGCAUAGAAGUCAAGGUUUUGACGGCAAAGCAGGAAAACUGAUUUUGUACCGACCUACUUAAAUGAAUAAUGAAGGAACCGAACGUCUGUAGAUUGUCAAUUCUACAAUUGUACAUGUAUGUUGUAAUAUGGUAGUCUAGGAAAAUUUGUUCGUUUUCUUCAAGAAUUGUCUUUUUUGAAGUCCAGAUUGAUUUUCUUUGGAGGUUGUUUAUUCCUUUGUUUGUAUAAGUAUGGGACAAUGAGUGAUUAAUUUAAUUUUUGGAAUCAUGACCAUAGUAGAAGUGAGAAUGGGAUGAAUUAGAGAAUGAAACAUCCAAUCCUGUUCAAAAUUUGAUCCAGUUAGGAAUGAAAUAUAUUUUGUCUCGUUUCCUUAUGUUUGGCCAAUUACUGUAGUAGAAAUUUAUAACCGAUGUCAAAGAAAAACUGUACAUUGUUUAGAGUUAUUUUCUUCAAUAUGCAAGGACUAUUUUUGUUUUGACAUCUUUAUGUUUAGAUAGAGAAUUUCACAAUUUGUAACACAUUUAAAUGAACUGACUUUGAAUUGAUUUAUCUCAUUUCAAAUUGUUUUGUUUUAAAAAAAAAAUAGUUGGAUAAGACAAUUUAAAUUCGGUGACUUUAAGGUUUUUUGUUUGAAUAAAGUAUUUCAAAUAAUUGUUAAAAGUUAAAAACUAUUAAUAUUGAUAAUAUUUUGUAGUUAAUGUUAUUUUAUUUAAAGUUCUACGUAUUUUUUAUUUUUUAUUUGUAAAAAAAAAAUCUCAAUUUAUUUAAGUAAAAUUAUUUUGAAGUUAUGAAAUGUUAGAUUAGGCUAGAGUCAGGUAAAAUAACACAUGGUUAGAAUUAUGUAAUAUCAAGUUAAGUUAUUUUAGGUCAGAGUGAAAUUUCUAAGUUGAGUUAUACUGAGUUUAUUUUGAACCAAAGAAACUCAGUCCUAAUCAAAAUUAUUAGGUUUGGGUUCAAGUUAAUUCAAGAUAAUUCGGUUUGGACCUAGAUUGAGUUAAAUGGACCUUGUCCCAAAUCGAGUCAACUCAAAUAUAAAUAAAAUCAAGUUAAUCUUAUUCUAGAUCAAGCAAAGUUGAUUUAAAUUCAAGUUAAGCUAAGUUGGGACAUCUCAAGUUCAAUUAAGUCAAGACGGAUUCACGAUCAUCUAAAUCAAGCCACAUUAAACUGACUCUACUAAAAGUUGAAUCGAUUCAAUUUGAUCUGAAGUCGAUCACGUUGAAUUGGCUCAAGCAAGCCAAGUCAUGGGAAGAAAAGAAAAUAGGAUUUUUGUUUAUUUUUUUAAAAUAAAAAAAAUAUAUCUUUUUAUCAUGAGUAUUUUAUCAUAAGUAUAGGAGUGCAAGAAAAAGAUACAGAAUGUAGAAAAAUAUUGAUCGACCUUUAUCAUGAGUUAUGUAAAAAAAUAUUGAUUUAGUUAUUUUAACCUUGUUAAAUUUUUUGUGUUAAAAGUGUUUUGCACUGUUUUAAUCAAAAUACGAUUUAAUAAACUUAAAUAUAUUAAUGUUAUUAAAUUAAUAUAUUAUAUUUAUUAUUUUUAAAAUUUAAAUUUAAGAUAUAAAGGAAUUUUAUUUUUUCAUCUAAAUUUAAAAGUAAAAGCAUAUUUAACUUAAAAAAAAAAUCAAAACACCUGAAUUACAAAAUAUAUAAAUGGAACAUGCUGACAAGAAGAAGUUUACAAAAGAGGGCAUCAUGGAACUUUUUAUUAGUUUUGAGAAGAAAUAUGUAAUUGUGCGAACAGGAAAAUAAAAAAUUGUAUUGUAUGUGUUUGGAAGAAACCUUUCAUUACCACACAACAACCUCAUCGUUUCUCUCCCUCUCAAAACAACUUAUUUUUCAUAACUCCCUCAAUAAAUUAUUUUAAUUAAAAUAUCUUUAUACUCUUCUUUAAUCCAUUUAUGCUUUAUCAUUAACGAUGGGAGACGGUCAUCAAUUUUUCACUUCCAUCCUUAUUUUUUUGCCUUUAUAUUUAAUAGUCUAAUUUACUUAAACUAAAUAGUUUAAUUCAAUAUAUUAAUAUUAUUUACGGUUCUUAUAUGAAUACUUUUUCCUAAUUCAUAUACUUUAUUUAACUAAAUGAAUUGGACUUCCUUAAGAAAAUUACACAACAUAUAAGUAAAAUGGAGGGAGUAUUUUUUUUUUUGCUUCAUUUUGAAUUAUUAAAUGAUUCGAAUAAGUAAAACCCUCGUAAUUAGAGAGUUAAAGAAUUUCAACUAUCUUUUUAUAUCUAAAUUAGAAUGAGUUAUUUAGAUUCUAAAUUUUUUUUUAUAUUAUUUUUAAUUUUUAUUUUCAGUUAUAUAUAUAUAUAUCCGACAUAAAAAUAUAUUUUUCUUAUAUUUAAACAAAGAUAAUUAUUUUAAAAUUAGUUUUCAACAAAAUUAUCUAAAAAAUGAUUUUAAUUUAAUUAUAAGCAAUUAUUAACUGUUAUCACACACACUAUAAUCUCAUUUAACUAUAAUAAUGAAUAUAAACUGUUAAUCAAUUUUGAAGAAUAAUAUUUAAUAAUUUUAAAUGGUUUGAAAAGUUUUAUUUUGUCUAAAAAUUUAUUUAUACAAAACUCUAGAAUACGAAAUAAACUUUUUUUUAAAAAAAAAAAAAAAAAAAAAAAACCAAGCUUACACGAUCCACAAAUUCUCUUAUCAGAAAGUACCAUUAAUUUUUUAUUUGUGUAACUAUCUAAUGACUGAAAAGGAAAGAAAGAAAGCUCUAGGUUCAUUCUUCUUGUCCUACAUCUUUUAAAUCAUAUUCUAAGAUAAAAAAAAAAAAAAAAAAAUUAUAGCCUCAUAAAUAUUAGAUAAUAGAAAAUCAGAAGAAAAAAUGUUGUUAUGUGACAAAUUAUAUUAUUACCACAUUGUUUAUAAUUAUUGUUUUUGUAAGAUUUAAUUUUUAGUAUAGCAUCAUAAUUUAUUUAAACAAAUUUUAUUAUUUUUUUAGUUUAUUAUAUUACCGAAUGUUAACAAAUUUAUUAUUCAUUAGAUUUAUCAUGUCAUCUAUUAAACUAUUUAUUAAUAUUUACUUUCAUUUUUAAGAUAAUAUGACUUGAAUUCCUGAAUUAAAGAAUUAAAGCAAGUUUAAAUUUUAUUUUUUAUCAUAUCAAUCAUAAAUUCUUUAUCAAAUAUUUCUAAAGUUUGCAGUUUUAAUAUUUAAUAAUUCUAAAUGGUUUGAGAAGUUUUAUUUUAUUUAAAAUUUUAUUUGUACUUUUAAAGAAGACUCUAGAAUACGAAAUAUAUAAUUUUUUUUAAAAUCUAAACUUACAUUAUCUACAAAUUCUCUUAUCAGAAUGUGCACCAUUAAUUUUUCUCUUUUUUUUUGGGAACUAUUUUUUUGGAAGCGAAGAAAAUUUGAAGAGAUGAUGAAUUUAUUUUAAUUUAUAAUUAUGAGUUUAUUUGUCAUUUGUAUUGGUUGUUAGAUGACAAAUUUUGAUUAACAAAAUAUUGUAUUUAAUAAAUUAAAACAAUGGUCAGGAUGAGAUAGUAAAUAAAAUGACAAAACUGAUUUAAUUUGAAUAUAAUAAUAUGAAUUCAAAGUGAACCAAAUUUGUAUAAAAAUGUUAUGUUGGAUAAAAAUAACCAAGUUAAUCACACUCUAAUAAUUCCUGUAUAACUUCAUAGGUUAAUGUUGAUGAAAUCUAAAUGUAAGUCUAAAUGUUGAUGAUUAUAUAAAGAUGAAAUAUCUAUUAAUUUAUCAACAUAUUAUUUUAAAGCUUUAGGUAUGAAAUGAUAUGAAUUCUUUUAUAUAAUUGAAUUCACGGCUUAUUUGUAUUGUUUCUCGAAUUGUGUUUAUCCAUUGAAUAGGUGUUGAUAGACUUAAUAAAUAUAUAAGGAAAAACUUCUUUUAACAACAUUUUUUUAACAAUUUUUUGACAAUGCAUACGUGGUAGUUUGUGAUUGGUCCGUUUUAAAUAUUUUUUAAACAUAAAUUCAAAUAAACCAAUAAAAUAAUGACACGUGUUCCGUUGUCAAAAAAGUUAUCAAAAAAUGUUGUCAAAAUAUCAUUGUCCAAAAAAAGAUAAUGAUAUUUUAACAGGGGCAAAACGAUAAAUAUAUUCAUGUUACACAGAUAAAUAAUAAUAUUUUAAUUAUAAUUAUAUUAUUUUUUUUAAUUUAAAUUCAUAAUUAAAUUAUUAUAUUAUUAAACAUUGUUUUUUUCUUAAGCGUGUCAAACAAACUUAAAAAAAAAAAAAAAGUAUAAACCAAUAACAUUGAAGAAAUUAAUUGGAUGCAUUUCCUUAUUUCAAUUUAUUUCCAUGAGUUGCUUGAAAAUUUUGUGGUGUUGUUGUCAUUUUGGUAUCAAAUUUGACUAGGAAUAGCAAGAUAUGAUCAUUCAUGGAAACUUAUGGUCAUUCAUUGUCCCACCUCAACCAUUGUCGUGUUUUAUCCUUCUUCCAUUAUAAAAUGAUAUCACACACAACACAACUUCUCAUGGUGUUAGACAGAGAUCGAUCCUGUUAACAACAUCUGCACUUGUUAUCAUGGCAACUCAGAUUCUCUGUCUGUCUAAUCCCAUACAAACACUCACCACUACUGUUACUUUAAAUAACAACUUCACCCGACAACCAUCUCUUGCAUAUCCCAAACCUAGAACACUUAAAUGUGCAGACACCUCUCAGAUAACACCCCAUAGACGUUCAGCUAAUUACCAGCCAAACCUCUGGAAUUUUCAACUCUUACAAUCUCUGGGAAAUGACCUUCAGGUUUUUUCUUUUUCAUUUUUAAUUAAUAAUAUUUUUUAUUUUGUAAGAGUCUUGCUAACACCAAUUUACAAUAUUCAUUAAGGAUGUAAGUAAGCUUUAUUCUUUUAACUUGGUUUUACAAUAUGAGUUCUUAUUGUAACUCAAACGCAGGAGAAAAAACUGAAUGAAAGAGCAAAAGAGCUGGAGAAGGAGGUACGACGUAUGAUGAAUAGGGUAGACACAGAGCCACUGAGCUUACUAGAAAUGAUCGACAAUGUCCAGCGUCUAGGAUUGACCUACAAGUUUGAGAAGGACAUAGUCAAAGCCCUUCAUGACAAGAUUGUUCUGUUGAAUGAAAAUGAGAAGCACAAAAGUGGACUCCAUGCUACUGCUCUCAGGUUUCGUUUACUUAGACAACAUGGUUUUCAUGUAUCCCAAGGUAUUCAUUCCCAUGUUACGUACAACUAGUUCCAAACACACAUUAAACAUAUGUUUUAUUAUCUUCUAAUCGAGUUAACAUGAUGCAGAUGUGUUUAAGAGAUUUAAGGACAAGGGAGGUUUCAGUGUUGAACUUAAAGAUGACGUGCAGGGGUUGUUGAGUCUGUAUGAGGCGUCUUAUCUUGGCUUUGAGGGAGAAAAUCUCUUGGACGAGGCAAGGUUAUUUUCAAUUACACAACUCAAGCAAAUCUUAGAAGAAGGAGUAAACAGCAAAGUGGAAGAACAAGUUAACCAUGCACUUGAACUUCCUUAUCACCGAAGAUUGCACAGACUAGAAGCACGAUGGCAUCUUGACAGAUACGAAGCAAAGGAACCCCACCACCAGUUACUACUGGAGCUUGCAAAGCUAGAUUUCAAUAUGGUGCAAUCAGAGCACCAAAAAGAACUGCAAGAACUAUCAUGGUUAAUUAUUCAUAAGUUUCAACUGAUUAUCUCAUAAUAAAUUGUAUAUGGAAAAUAAAAUUUUAACACCAUUUUUUUGACACCAUUUUGACACUGUACACUUGUCAAAAUGUGGUUGGACGAUUUUAAAUUAAAAAAUAAACUUUGGUUUUUUUCUUCCAAAUAUACUCCUGUCUCAACUUUUUUAAUUUGAAAUCGUCCAAUCACAUUUUGGCACGUGUGCAAUGUCAAAAUAGUGUAAAAAAUGGUGUUAAAAUAUCAUUUUAUGAAUCGUAUAAUGUAUAAUGUAUGGUAGGUGGUGGAGGGAGAUGGGGUUGACAAAGAAGCUAGAUUUUGUAAGAGACAG
rnacentral:lncRNA from 1 species